CCUUUUACAUACCAAAAGGUUCAUUUUAUGAGGACAAAGAUAAUUUGGUGUGCCUAAUGUCUCGUAGAGGAGAGCUGAUUUCAGCCCAGUAUGAACUACGAUAUCCAUUUGCCCGAUUUGUUGCCCGCAACGAGAUCAAGUACAUGAGAAGAUACUGCAUAGAUCGUGUUCAGCGUGCUUACAAAGUUUGUGGUGUUCAUCCUAAGGAAUGUUAUGAGUGUGCUUUGAACAUUAUAUCAUCAGGGAGGCCUCAGAAUCUGCAGCAAGAGUGAUGCUAGUAACGCAUGAUCUGAUACAACAAAUAAUUCAAGAACGUACACAGGAUAUCAAGAUUAGUGUAGGACACAUGGGACUAGUACAUGUUAUUCUAAAGCACUGUGGAAUUGAUGAAUCCCUUCACAAUAAACUUAUUAUACUCCUGAAGGAAUGGAAUGGAAAACGGAUGACUUUUGAAAGUCUUGGGGAAUGGUUGCGGGACCUUGGGGUUGCUCGAUCAUCUGCAGAAAGUCUAAAAGGAUUUCUGGUUUUAGAUGGACCUGUGGAGGAAGUCAUAAAGUCUUUUAAAGACAAAGGGCUGACAUCUCGCCAUAGAGGUUUAUACCACUUGUAAAACAAAUUAUAUCUGAAAUUGAAGAUAUUACAGAAACUGCUUUCACAUUAGGAGUAAAAUAUUGUGUUCAACUUAAACCUAUGAUGGUGGC